GGGGACGUAGUUCAAUUGGUAGAGCAUAUGCUUUGCAUGCAUGAAGUUAUCGGUUCAAGUCCGUUCGUCUCCA
rnacentral:tRNA from 1 species